GGUACAUUUAAUAAAGGUUUUGAAAACCUUUUAGGAUAUAAAUCAUGUACUU
rnacentral:tRNA from 1 species